UGGUGGGGAACUUACCAUGCAGUCGAACGGCAGCACGGACUUCGGUGCUGGUGGCGAGGUGGCGAACGGGUGAGUAAUGUAUCGGAACGUGCCCAGUAGCGGGGGAUAACUACGCGAAAGCGUAGCUAAUACCGCAUACGCCCUACGGGGGAAAGCAGGGGAUCGCAAGACCUUGCACUAUUGGAGCGGCCGAUAUCGGAUUAGCUAGUUGGUGGGGUAACGGCUCACCAAGGCGACGAUCCGUAGCUGGUUUGAGAGGACGACCAGCCACACUGGGACUGAGACACGGCCCAGACUCCUACGGGAGGCAGCAGUGGGGAAUUUUGGACAAUGGGGGAAACCCUGAUCCAGCCAUCCCGCGUGUGCGAUGAAGGCCUUCGGGUUGUAAAGCACUUUUGGCAGGAAAGAAACGUCAUGGGUUAAUACCCCGUGAAACUGACGGUACCUGCAGAAUAAGCACCGGCUAACUACGUGCCAGCAGCCGCGGUAAUACGUAGGGUGCAAGCGUUAAUCGGAAUUACUGGGCGUAAAGCGUGCGCAGGCGGUUCGGAAAGAAAGAUGUGAAAUCCCAGAGCUUAACUUUGGAACUGCAUUUUUAACUACCGGGCUAGAGUGUGUCAGAGGGAGGUGGAAUUCCGCGUGUAGCAGUGAAAUGCGUAGAUAUGCGGAGGAACACCGAUGGCGAAGGCAGCCUCCUGGGAUAACACUGACGCUCAUGCACGAAAGCGUGGGGAGCAAACAGGAUUAGAUACCCUGGUAGUCCACGCCCUAAACGAUGUCAACUAGCUGUUGGGGCCUUCGGGCCUUGGUAGCGCAGCUAACGCGUGAAGUUGACCGCCUGGGGAGUACGGUCGCAAGAUUAAAACUCAAAGGAAUUGACGGGGACCCGCACAAGCGGUGGAUGAUGUGGAUUAAUUCGAUGCAACGCGAAAAACCUUACCUACCCUUGACAUGUCUGGAAUCCUGAAGAGAUUUAGGAGUGCUCGCAAGAGAACCGGAACACAGGUGCUGCAUGGCUGUCGUCAGCUCCCCCUCGUGAGAUGUUGGGUUAAGUCCCGCAACGAGCGCAACCCUUGUCAUUAGUUGCUACGACAGGGCACUCUAAUGAGACUGCCGGUGACAAACCGGAGGAAGGUGGGAGAUGACGUCAAGUCCUCAUGGCCCUUAUGGGUAGGGCUUCACACGUCAUACAAUGGUCGGGACAGAGGGUCGCCAACCCGCGAGGGGGAGCCAAUCCCAGAAACCCGAUCGUAGUCCGGAUCGCAGUCUGCAACUCGACUGCGUGAAGUCGGAAAUCGCUAGUAAUCGCGGAUCAGCAUGUCGCGGUGAUACGUUGCCCGCGUCUUGUACACACCCGCCCGGUCACAACCCAUGCGAAGUGGGUGUUCA
rnacentral:rRNA from 1 species